AUGAACGCUGGCGGCGUGCCUAAUACAUGCAAGUCGAGCGAACGGACGAGAAGCUUGCUUCUCUGAUGUUAGCGGCGGACGGGUGAGUAACACGUGGAUAACCUACCUAUAAGACUGGGAUAACUUCGGGAAACCGUAGCUAAUACCGGAUAAUAUUUUGAACCGCAUGGUUCAAAAGUGAAAGACGGUCUUGCUGUCACUUAUAGAUGGAUCCGCGCUGCAUUAGCUAGUUGGUAAGGUAACGGCUUACCAAGGCAACGAUGCAUAGCCGACCUGAGAGGGUGAUCGGCCACACUGGAACUGAGACACGGUCCAGACUCCUACGGGAGGCAGCAGUAGGGAAUCUGCCGCAAUGGGCGAAAGCCUGACGGAGCAACGCCGCGUGAGUGAUGAAGGUCUUCGGAUCGUAAAACUCUGUUAUUAGGGAAGAACAUAUGUGUAAGUAACUGUGCACAUCUUGACGGUACCUAAUCAGAAAGCCACGGCUAACUACGUG
rnacentral:rRNA from 1 species